GGGAGAAGGUGUGCCGCUGGCGGUUAGUGACUUCGCGUCACGAAGCUGUCGGUGGUCGCAGUGAAAUGGCGGUUGUGACUGUUUACUAAAAACACAGGACUCUGCGAAGUCGUAAGACGACGUAUAGGGUCUGAUGCCUGCCCGGUGCUGGAAGGUUAAGGGGAUAUGUCAGCGCAAGCGAAGCAUUGAACCGAAGCCCCAGUAAACGGCGGCCGUAACGAUAACGGUCCUAAGGUAGCGAAAUUCCUUGUCGGGUAAGUUCCGACCUGCACGAGGGCAUAACAACAUCCGCACUGUCUCGACCAGGGACUCAGCGAAAUUACAUUGGGGGUGAAGAUGCCCUCUACCCGCGGAAAGACGGAAAGACCCCAUGAACCUUUACUGCAACUUGGCAGUGAUUUUCGGGUUGUUCUGCGUAGGAUAGGUGGGAGGCUUUGAAGCCGGGCUUCCGGGUUCGGCAGAGCCAACGUUGAAAUACCACCCUGAAUAAUCUGGAAAUCUAACCUGCGCCCAUGAUCUGGGCGAGGGACACUGCCUGGUGGGCAGUUUGACUGGGGCGGUCGCCUCCUAAAUUGUAACGGAGGCGUGCGACGGUUCCCUCAGGCUGAUUGGAAACCAGCCGUAGAGUGCAAACGCAUAAGGGAGCUUUACUGCGAGACUGACAAGUCGAACAGUUGCGAAAGCAGGUGUUAGUGAUCCGGUGGUACCACAUGGAAGGGCCAUCGCUCAUCGGAUAAAAGGUACUCUGGGGAUAACAGGCUGAUCGCGCCUGAGAGUUCACAUCGGCGGCGCGGUUUGGCACCUCGAUGUCGGCUCAUCGCAUCCUGGGGCUGGAGCAGGUCCCAAGGGUUUGGCUGUUCGCCAAUUAAAGCGGUACGCGAGCUGGGUUUAAAACGUCGUGAGACAGUUUGGUCCCUAUCUUCCGUGGGCGCAGGACACUUGAGAGGAGCUAUCCAUAGUACGAGAGGACCUGGAUGGACGAACCUCUGGUGCUCCGGUUGUCACGCCAGUGGCAUAGCCGGGUAGCCAUGUUCGGAACAGAUAACCGCUGAAGGCAUAUAAGCGGGAAGCUGGCCUCAAGACUAGGUGUCCCUGACGCAAGUCACUAAAGGCCCCUCGAAGACUACGAGGUUGAUAGGCUCGGUGUGGAAGCGCUGCGAGGCGUGGAGCUAACGAGUACUAAUAGGCCGUGCGACUUGACCUU
rnacentral:rRNA from 1 species